GGUUAAGUGAAUAAGGGCGCACGGUGGAUGCCUUGGCACUAGGAGCCGAUGAAGGACGGGACUAACACCGAUAUGCUUUGGGGAGCUGUAAGUAAGCUAUGAUCCAGAGAUUUCCGAAUGGGGAAACCCAGCAUCUUUUAUAGGAUGUUACAUUUACGUGAAUACAUAGCGUAAUUGAGGUAGACGCAGAGAACUGAAACAUCUAAGUACCUGCAGGAAGAGAAAGAAAAUUCGAUUCCCUGAGUAGCGGCGAGCGAAACGGGAAGAGCCCAAACCAAUGAGCUUGCUCAUUGGGGUUGUAGGACUCCGAUAUGGUAGUCUGUCAGGAUAGUCAAAGGACUUGGAAAAGUCCGCCAGAGAGGGUGAAAGCCCCGUAGACGAAAUUUUGGCAACACCUAGGAGGAUCCUGAGUACGGCGGAACACGUGAAAUUCCGUCGGAAUCCGCGGGGACCAUCCCGCAAGGCUAAAUACUCCCUAGUGACCGAUAGUGAACCAGUACCGUGAGGGAAAGGUGAAAAGCACCCCGGAAGGGGAGUGAAAUAGAUCCUGAAACCGUGUGCCUACAACAAGUUAAAGCCCGUUAAUGGGUGAUAGCGUGCCUUUUGUAGAAUGAACCGGCGAGUUACGAUUACAUGCGAGGUUAAGAUGAAGAGUCGGAGCCGUAGCGAAAGCGAGUCUGAAUAGGGCGAAUGAGUAUGUGGUCGUAGACCCGAAACCAUGUGAUCUACCCAUGUCCAGGUUGAAGGUGCGGUAAAACGCACUGGAGGACCGAACCCACGUACGUUGAAAAGUGCGGGGAUGAGGUGUGGGUAGCGGAGAAAUUCCAAACGAACUUGGAGAUAGCUGGUUCUCUCCGAAAUAGCUUUAGGGCUAGCCUCGGAAUUGAGAAUGAUGGAGGUAGAGCACUGUUUGGACUAGGGGCCCAUCUCGGGUUACCGAAUUCAGAUAAACUCCGAAUGCCAUUCAUUUAUAUCCGGGAGUCAGACUGCGAGUGAUAAGAUCCGUAGUCGAAAGGGAAACAGCCCAGACCACCAGCUAAGGUCCCAAAAUAUAUGUUAAGUGGAAAAGGAUGUGGGGUUGCACAGACAACUAGGAUGUUGGCUUAGAAGCAGCCACCAUUUAAAGAGUGCGUAAUAGCUCACUAGUCGAGUGACCCUGCGCCGAAAAUGUACCGGGGCUAAACAUAUUACCGAAGCUGUGGAUUACACCUCUGGUGUAAUGGUAGGAGAGCGUUCUAAGGGCGUUGAAGGUAGAUCGUGAGGACUGCUGGAGCGCUUAGAAGUGAGAAUGCCGGUAUGAGUAGCGAAAGACGGGUGAGAAUCCCGUCCACCGUAUGACUAAGGUUUCCUGGGGAAGGCUCGUCCGCCCAGGGUUAGUCGGGACCUAAGCCGAGGCCGAAAGGCGUAGGCGAUGGACAACAGGUUGAUAUUCCUGUACCAGUUGUUUUUGUUUGAGCAAUGGAGGGACGCAGUAGGCUAAGGAAAUGUGCGAAUGGAAGAGCACGUCCAAGCAAUGAGUCUUGAGGUGAGUCAAAUGCUUACUUCUUUAAGGACAAGUUGUGAUGGGGAGGGAAAUAAUAGUACCGAAGUUCCUGAUGUCACACUGCCAAGAAAAGCUUCUAGUGAGAAAACAACUGCCCGUACCGUAAACCGACACAGGUAGUCGAGGAGAGCAUCCUAAGGUGAGCGAGCGAACUCUCGUUAAGGAACUCGGCAAAAUGACCCCGUAACUUCGGGAGAAGGGGU
rnacentral:ncRNA from 1 species